UUUAUGGAGAGUUUGAUCCUGGCUCAGGAUGAACGCUGGCGGCGUGCCUAAUACAUGCAAGUCGAGCGAACGGACGAGAAGCUUGCUUCUCUGAUGUUAGCGGCGGACGGGUGAGUAACACGUGGAUAACCUACCUAUAAGACUGGGAUAACUUCGGGAAACCGGAGCUAAUACCGGAUAAUAUUUUGAACCGCAUGGUUCAAAAGUGAAAGACGGUCUUGCUGUCACUUAUAGAUGGAUCCGCGCUGCAUUAGCUAGUUGGUAAGGUAACGGCUUACCAAGGCAACGAUGCAUAGCCGACCUGAGAGGGUGAUCGGCCACACUGGAACUGAGACACGGUCCAGACUCCUACGGGAGGCAGCAGUAGGGAAUCUUCCGCAAUGGGCGAAAGCCUGACGGAGCAACGCCGCGUGAGUGAUGAAGGUCUUCGGAUCGUAAAACUCUGUUAUUAGGGAAGAACAUAUGUGUAAGUAACUGUGCACAUCUUGACGGUACCUAAUCAGAAAGCCACGGCUAACUACGUGCCAGCAGCCGCGGUAAUACGUAGGUGGCAAGCGUUAUCCGGAAUUAUUGGGCGUAAAGCGCGCGUAGGCGGUUUUUUAAGUCUGAUGUGAAAGCCCACGGCUCAACCGUGGAGGGUCAUUGGAAACUGGAAAACUUGAGUGCAGAAGAGGAAAGUGGAAUUCCAUGUGUAGCGGUGAAAUGCGCAGAGAUAUGGAGGAACACCAGUGGCGAAGGCGACUUUCUGGUCUGUAACUGACGCUGAUGUGCGAAAGCGUGGGGAUCAAACAGGAUUAGAUACCCUGGUAGUCCACGCCGUAAACGAUGAGUGCUAAGUGUUAGGGGGUUUCCGCCCCUUAGUGCUGCAGCUAACGCAUUAAGCACUCCGCCUGGGGAGUACGACCGCAAGGUUGAAACUCAAAGGAAUUGACGGGGACCCGCACAAGCGGUGGAGCAUGUGGUUUAAUUCGAAGCAACGCGAAGAACCUUACCAAAUCUUGACAUCCUUUGACAACUCUAGAGAUAGAGCCUUCCCCUUCGGGGGACAAAGUGACAGGUGGUGCAUGGUUGUCGUCAGCUCGUGUCGUGAGAUGUUGGGUUAAGUCCCGCAACGAGCGCAACCCUUAAGCUUAGUUGCCAUCAUUAAGUUGGGCACUCUAAGUUGACUGCCGGUGACAAACCGGAGGAAGGUGGGGAUGACGUCAAAUCAUCAUGCCCCUUAUGAUUUGGGCUACACACGUGCUACAA
rnacentral:rRNA from 1 species